GAGGUUCGUGCCUCUACUUUGUCGACAUUAAUGGAGCUGAGCAUUUGCACCAAGGUUUCUGUUGUCGCUCUCAUUUUUUAAUUUUAAGGGUGAUUGGAAUUUGGAGGUUCUCAAGCCAAUUACAUAAUAGACAAAGUGAGAUUUUUAGAAGGUGCAAAAUCAACAAUGAGUAGCAACCCCAAAAAAAUAAAAGGAAGUGAAAAAUGGUAGUACCCUUUCUCUUUGAACAAAAAAAAAUCAUCUUUUCUAAAAAUUAAAAAUACACUAACUCUUCUUACCCUCACCAAUUUUCUGAAGUACCAGUGGAAUAUGUACUGCCACCAUUUGAAUUAGCGAAAGAAAUCAAGCAACAUUUUUCAAGUCGAAGUUCCAUCGCUCGAGGUCGUUGCCGUCCAAGAUUUUUCGUUCGCUGGUCUUUAUCUUUGUUGGAAGAUUUAUUGAGGUCUGUUUUCUAACUCUGUAUUUGG
rnacentral:lncRNA from 1 species